rnacentral:lncRNA from 12 species
CCACAACUAAAGUAAAUAGAAACUUUGUGCAUUAAAAAGGAGGAACUAUAUGACAGCUUUUGUUGUUGUUGUUGUUGUUGUUGUUGUUGUUGUUAUCAUCAAUAUCAUUAUUUCAUGCUGAGAAAGUUCUAGUGCUGGAGAUGAGCUGAGCAAGACAGACAGAAUGGUAUCAGAGUCCCUACAGACACGUUUGCAAAGGGAGAAGCCAAAGCCAGUUCUGUGUCUUUUUUGAGAGAACAUCAUGGACUUUUCACAGGAGCUGAGAAGGGCCACAGGGGCAGGCCGAG